rnacentral:lncRNA from 12 species
CAAAAUUGACCAGUGUAUGAAAAAAAAAAAAAAAAGUUUGUGUUGCUUUAAGUAUUUGUCAUCUGAUUGAUCUGCAGACAUGAGAGUGAUGAAGAUAUUGUCAACAUGCCUCUCCAAGACAGAAAGUCUAGAGGACCAAACAGAUCAAAUCCCAAACCUAAAGAUAAGGAGCUUCUUGAUCUCAAGAGGCUUUUAUCACUGAUCACAGCUCCAGUGUCAAAACAGGUUUCAUCUUUGAAUCAAUCCAAGGGACG